rnacentral:rRNA from 1 species
UGAGGAAUAUUGGUCAAUGGGCGGAAGCCUGAACCAGCCAAGUCGCGUGAGGGAAGACGGUCCUAUGGAUUGUAAACCUCUUUUGCCGGGGAGCAAAGCCGGGCUCGUGAGCCCGGAAGGAGAGUACCCGGAGAAAAAGCAUCGGCUAACUCCGUGCCAGCAGCCGCGGUAAUACGGAGGAUGCGAGCGUUAUCCGGAUUUAUUGGGUUUAAAGGGUGCGUAGGCGGGAUCUUAAGUCAGCGGUAAAAAUGCGGGGCUCAACCCCGUAGUGCCGUUGAAACUGAGGUUCUUGAGUGGGCCGAGAAGUAUGCGGAAUGCGUGGUGUAGCGGUGAAAUGCAUAGAUAUCACGCAGAACUCCGAUUGCGAAGGCAGCAUACCGGCGCCCAACUGACGCUGAGGCACGAAAGCGUGGGGAUCGAACAGGAUUAGAUACC